ACAAGCGGUGGAUGAUGUGGUUAAUUCGAUGCAACGCGAAAACCUUUACCCACCUUUGACAUGGCAGGAAUCCUGAAGAGAUUUGGGAGUGCUCGCAAGAGAACCGGAACACAGGUGCUGCAUGGCUGUCGUCAGCUCGUGUCGUGAGAUGUUGGGUUAAGUCCCGCAACGAGCGCAACCCUUGUCAUUAGUUGCCAUCAUUUGGUUGGGCACUCUAAUGAGACUGCCGGUGACAAACCGGAGGAAGGUGGGGAUGACGUCAAGUCCUCAUGGCCCUUAUGGGUAGGGCUUCACACGUCAUACAAUGGUCGGUACAGAGGGUUGCCAACCCGCGAGGGGGAGCUAAUCCCACAAAGCCGAAUCGUAGUCCGGAUCGCAGUCUGCAACUCGACUGCGUGAAGUCGGAAUCGCUAGUAAUCGUGGAUCAGCAUGUCACGGUGAAUACGUUCCCGGGUCUU
rnacentral:rRNA from 1 species